rnacentral:rRNA from 1 species
AUGGGGCUCCUCGACCAGCUCUGGGACGACACGGUCGCCGGCCCGCGGCCGGACCACGGCUUCAGCAAGCUCCGGAAAUACUCCUCCUUCUCGCCCUCGAGCCCGGCGGCCGAAGACGUCGCGCCGGCGGUGACCCGCAGCAUCACCAUCGCCCGGACGCCGUCUCUUUCCCUCCCGUCCGGCGAGUCGAGCUCCGUGCCGUCCUCCCCGGGCAGUGCGCCGGACUCCCCGUUCGCAGCAGCGCUUAUCGACCGUGAUCGCUUCUGUCCGAUCGGCGAUGCGUCGAUCCGUUGGGGCAAGAAAAACAUGGACCGUUUAGCAUGGCUUGUCCCUCGAGCGAGAUCCAUCCAUAGAAUCAAAUCUGUGAUCAUUGCCGCAGACGCACGGAUGUCGGGAAAUUUGCUGUUUAACUUGAAAUUGAUGUUUUAUCUGAACUUUAUGUUGCAGCUACCAGUAGGAGAGACGGCUGGAGGGCGUUUCGCCGGAAAUCCAAGAUCGCCAAUGUCGACGUCGUCCGGGCAGAGGCGGCCGUCGGGCCCAGGAGCCCCACCGUGUACGACUGGUGCGUUUAAACGUCACCUUCACUCUUACCCCAUUCCGCUUGCAACAUACGAAUGA